UAGGGAAUAUUGGGCAAUGGGCGAGAGCCUGACCCAGCCAUGCCGCGUGCAGGAAGACGGCCCUCUGGGUUGUAAACUGCUUUUGCCGGGGAAGAACGGCAGUGGUGCGCCACUGUGUGACGGUACCUGGUGAAUAAGCACCGGCUAACUCCGUGCCAGCAGCCGCGGUAAUACGGAGGGUGCGAGCGUUGUCCGGAUUUAUUGGGUUUAAAGGGUGCGUAGGUGGGUUGGUAAGUCUGGUUUGAAAGUUGGUCGCUUAACGAUCAAGGGUGGCUGGAUACUGCUGAUCUUGAAUGCGGUGGAGGCUGGCGGAACGGGUUGUGUAGCGGUGAAAUGCAUAGAGAUGACCCAGAACCCCAAUUGCGAAGGCAGCCGGCUACACCGUGAUUGACACUGAGGC
rnacentral:rRNA from 1 species